rnacentral:ncRNA from 1 species
AUAGGAGGUUGGAUAAUGACUAAUAAUGACUAAUAAACAAGGAAAACCCUUAGGAAAAAUGAAUCCUAGGUGUGUGUGAAGUAACUCUAACAAUAAUCACCUAACCUACACCCCUUAACUUUCUAAAUCAUUGACCCAUAACCCAUAAUCCUUCUAAAGACACAAUGUGAUUUAUUCCCAUUGCUUUGCAUGUCAAAGUGAAGAAAUUCAACCAAGCACGGGUAAACGGUGGGAGUAACUAUGACUCUCUUAAGGUAUCUAGAUGCCUCUUCAUCUAAUUAGUGAUGUGCAUGAAUGGGUCAUUAAUGAUAUUUCCCGUUUUCUCUAGCUACUAUAUUCUAGAGAAACCACAUCCAAGGGAAUGGGCUUGGCACAAUUAGUGGGGAAAGAAGACCCUGUUGAGCUUCUCUAGUCCUAACCCGUUCAUAGUUUGGGAAAAUUAGACAAUAACAUUUGUCUUUGGGAGUCAAAUU